GAUGAACGCUGGCGGCGUGCCUAAUACAUGCCAGUCGAGCGAACAGAUGAGGAGCUUGCUCCUCUGACGUUAGCGGCGGACGGGUGAGUAACACGUGGAUAACCUACCUAUAAGACUGGGAUAACUUCGGGAAACCGGAGCUAAUACCGGAUAAUAUAUUGAACCGCAUGGUUCAAUAGUGAAAGACGGUUUUGCUGUCACUUAUAGAUGGAUCCGCGCCGCAUUAGCUAGUUGGUAAGGUAACGGCUUACCAAGGCGACGAUGCGUAGCCGACCUGAGAGGGUGAUCGGCCACACUGGAACUGAAACACGGUCCAGACUCCUACGGGAGGCAGCAGUAGGGAAUCUUCCGCAAUGGGCGAAAGCCUGACGGAGCAACGCCGCGUGAGUGAUGAAGGUCUUCGGAUCGUAAAACUCUGUUAUUAGGGAAGAACAAAUGUGUAAGUAACUAUGCACGUCUUGACGGUACCUAAUCAGAAAGCCACGGCUAACUACGUG
rnacentral:rRNA from 1 species